ACUCAUUUGGUGGAAUUGGUAGACACGACAGACUUAAAAUCUGUUUCCUUUCGGAGUACCGGUUCAAUUCUGGUAAUGAGUA
rnacentral:tRNA from 1 species